rnacentral:rRNA from 1 species
CCUACGGGUGGCUGCAGUGGGGAAUAUUGCACAAUGGGCGCAAGCCUGAUGCAGCCAUGCCGCGUGUGUGAAGAAGGCCUUCGGGUUGUAAAGCACUUUCAGCGGGGAGGAAGGCGGUGAGGUUAAUAACCUCAUCGAUUGACGUUACCCGCAGAAGAAGCACCGGCUAACUCCGUGCCAGCAGCCGCGGUAAUACGGAGGGUGCAAGCGUUAAUCGGAAUUACUGGGCGUAAAGCGCACGCAGGCGGUCUGUCAAGUCGGAUGUGAAAUCCCCGGGCUCAACCUGGGAACUGCAUUCGAAACUGGCAGGCUAGAGUCUUGUAGAGGGGGGUAGAAUUCCAGGUGUAGCGGUGAAAUGCGUAGAGACCUGGAGGAAUACCGGUGGCGAAGGCGGCCCCCUGGACAAAGACUGACGCUCAGGUGCGAAAGCGUGGGGAGCAAACAGGAUUAGAUACCCUUGUAGUC